rnacentral:piRNA from 1 species
CAAGUUCAGAAAAAACUUAGA